rnacentral:lncRNA from 1 species
GUUGGGCUACCACAGGCACUUAGGCGGCACAAGCUAGACUACCUUGGGUAGGUCCUUACUUGGAAAUGAAAAUCGACACGGCGUCGAGUGGGUUUUAAUCACUACUAGAUAGAGAGUAGUAGUUGGAUUACUUGGACUUGCUUCUAGCAUAGUUUUGGACAUUUGAGUAUACAUACAUACAUGUAGUAUGCUAGGAGAUGUUGCUUAUUGCAUUCAUAUAUACAUUGUUGCCAUGAUAAAGCAUGAUCUUUAUAACUUCAUAAAGUAAACCG